AAUAUUGGACCUUGGGGGCAACCUUGAUCCAGCCAUCCCGCGUGUGCGAUGAAGGCCUUCGGGUUGUAAACCACUUUUGGCUGGGAAGAAAAGGCCCUGGCUAAUACCUGUAGCUGCUGCCGGUACCUGCAGAAUAAGCCCCGGCUAAUUACGUGCCAGCAGCCGCGGUAAUACGUAGGGUGCAAGCGUUAAUCGGAAUUACUGGGCGUAAAGCGUGCGCAGGCGGUUCGGCAAGAAGGAUGUGAAAUCCCAGGGCUUAACCUUGGAACUGCAUUCUUAACUGCCGGGCUAGAGUAUGUCAGAGGGGAGUAGAAUUCCGCGUGUAGCAGUGAAAUGCGUAGAGAUGCGGAGGAAUACCGAUGGCGAAGGCAGCCCCCUGGGAUAAUACUGACGCUCAUGCACGAAAGCGUGGGGAGCAAAC
rnacentral:rRNA from 1 species